GAGUCAACGGGCCGCUCUCCCAGGCCGCGGCGGCUCCGAAGCAUGGGGCCCGGGCCUCCAGGCUGCAGCUCGGCACCCACAGACAUGCAUGUGUGCCCGGUCUACCCCGAGGACUCAGCGGGCGGGCGGGGUCGCUGAGGUUGCCUCCCAUUUCUGGAGCUGCUGGCAUCCACCAAGAGGAGAGAACCUCCUGAGAACAAAGCCGACUCACAGGAAAGGUGACCUCAGAGGUGAAGAGAGACAAGAGUCCCGACGACGUUGUCCGAGACCCUGGAUUCAGCGAGGCCUGAAGUCAAACUAUUCAAGGCUCCUCAGAUCCGUCUCUGCUCCAACAUCGCCUCCUCGGAGGCCUUCCCCGACCACCCUAUAGGAAACAAUCCCCCUUUGUCCUUGUCCAUCCCUGUACCCGGCUUCAUUCUCUGUGUGGCACUUCUCACGACCCAACAUAAAGCUUUAGGAUCUAUGUGUGUGCUUAUGCUGCAAGGAGGGCAAGGAUUUUACUGCUUUUGUUCACUGAAGCAUCCCCAGAAGGGUACAUACUGGGUGCACAGCAGGUGCUUAAUAUUUGUUGACAGAGCAAAUGAAUGCAGAGGCUGGGGCAGGCAGUGGGUCCCUGA